AGCGACUUUUUCCUUUCUUCUUAUCUUCACCUUACACUAUCAAGGGUCAUGGUUACCUUACUGUAACCUUCACCACCGCACCUUCCCUCCAUGGCGCCGCUGCUUCCGACCACCCCUCGCCGAGCUGAGAUAACCAGAAGAUCCGCCUCGUCGUCCUCUCCAUCCUCCUGCAAGGAAUCGAGCUGGGCCUCGCUCAAUCAACGCCAAAUUCGCCGAUACCCAUCUCUGACCGCCGGCGAAAUUCGUCGAUUCCGGCCGCUGGAGACCUCCCCCAUCCUCUCCGACCUCAUCCACGGCUCCCUGGUGAUGUGCUCGCUCUUCUAGACCUCUUCCCCGUCUCGUUCUCGUCCUCGUUUAUUUUUCUACCGAUGUUGACCACCGGUAACCUCCGCAGGAGCUCGACGCCGGCGAUGCUCCGGCGAGCCCCUGGACCCGGCACCACCACCAUCAGGUUCAGCGCGUCGAUCCGCACCCCCGACGCCAUCUCGCCCCGUCCUGGUUCGUUCGGAAUUCCCAGAUCGACGCUCGACUGCGAGCUCCACCAUGGCUGUUCUUCCAAGAGCUUCCGCCUUGGCCUGGUUCAAAAGGCUGCACACCUCAAUUCCACCAACAGCAGAUGCAUCAGCCCAGUUGAUCCGGCGCCUGAUGGGCCUUGACCCAGAUCCACCGACCCAGCCUGUCUCCCCGUGCGCCCAGCUCUUAUCCGUCGCCACUUCCAGGCCAGAUCCGGCCCAGAAAUAUCGCAGCAUUUGCUUCUUCCCGGAUAGGAUCGCGAAGUUGUGUGGUGAGAUACGAC